GUGGUACGCGAGCUGGGUUCAGAACGUCGUGAGACAGUUCGGUCCCUAUCCGUCGCAGGCGUAGGAAAUUUGAGAAGACCUGUCCUUAGUACGAGAGGACCGGGAUGGACGUACCUCUGGUGUACCAGUUGUCCUGCCAAGGGCAUGGCUGGGUAGCUAUGUACGGAAUGGAUAAGCGCUGAAAGCAUCUAAGCGCGAAGCCAACUUCAAGAUAAGAUUUCCCACCGCAAGGGUAAGACCCCAGAAAGACUAUCUGGUUGAUAGGUCGAAGGUGUAAGUGCAGCAAUGUAUUUAGCUUAUCGAUACUAAUAGGUCGAGGACUUGACCAAU
rnacentral:rRNA from 1 species